rnacentral:tRNA from 1 species
GGAAGUAUGGCUCAAGUGGUAGAGUGUCUGCAUAGCAAGCAAAAAGCCCUGAGUUCAAACCCCAGUACCA